AUCUAUAAGUCUUGUCUAAAUUACGUGCCAGCAGACGCGGUAAUACGUAGAAGACUAGUGUUAUUCAUCUUUAAUGGGUUUAAAGGGUACCUAGACGGAAAAUCAAGCCAAAUAAAGGGACUAAUAUUCUAGAGUUUUAUAAAAGAAGAUGGAAUUUUCGGAGUAGAGUUGAAAUUCAGUUAUACCGUGAAGACUGGUAACGGCGAAGGCAAUCUUCUAUGUAAAAACUGACGUUGAGGGACGAAGCCUAGGGUAACGAUAAGGAUUAGAGACCCUAAUAGUCCUAGGAGAAAAUUAUGAAUGUCAUAAGCUAGAUUAUUUUAGUUUAUAAAUGAAAGUGUAAGCAUUCCACCUCAUGAGUAAAGCGGCAACGCUCAAAUUGAAAUCAUUAGACCGUUUCUGAAACCAGUAGUGAAGUAUGUUAUUUAAUUCGAUGAUCCGCGAAUAACCUUACCACAAUUUGAAUAUUUUACAAGUGCUGCACGGCUGUCUUUAGCUAAUGUCGUGAGAUUUGGUUAACUCCUCUAAUUAGCGCAAGCCCUUGCUUUAUUUAUUUUUUUCAUAAAGUAGUUCACCAAUAUAUCAGUACAGA
rnacentral:rRNA from 1 species